CCUACGGGUGGCAGCAGUGGGGAAUAUUGCACAAUGGGGGAAACCCUGAUGCAGCGACGCCGCGUGAGUGAAGAAGUAUUUCGGUAUGUAAAGCUCUAUCAGCAGGGAAGAAAAUGACGGUACCUGACCAAGAAGCCCCGGCUAACUACGUGCCAGCAGCCGCGGUAAUACGUAGGGGGCAAGCGUUAUCCGGAUUUACUGGGUGUAAAGGGAGCGUAGACGGCGCUGCAAGUCCGGAGUGAAAGCCCGUGGCUCAACCAUGGUACUGCUCUGGAAACUGUGGAGCUGGAGUGCAGGAGGGGCAAGCGGAAUUCCUAGUGUAGCGGUGAAAUGCGUAGAUAUUAGGAGGAACACCGGCGGCGAAGGCGGCUUACUGGACCGUAACUGACGUUGAGGCUCGAAGGCGUGGGGAGCAAACAGGAUUAGAUACCCCAGUAGUC
rnacentral:rRNA from 1 species